rnacentral:lncRNA from 1 species
GACAAAAAAAGAGAACAUAGUGUCAAUUUGGGCUUAAUAUGGCCCAACCCAUAAAAUAAAUAAAAACCUAACAACACCCAAACAUAUAUCCAACUCAGUUUUUUCUAACCCUAGCCGCCGCUCAACAUUUCUCUGUCUCUGUGUUUUUUCCUCUUCUCACCAAAUUCUCCAUUCUCCUUCAUCAAACCCUAGCCACCACCAAAUGACUACUCCACAACGCCAUCUUAAGCCUUUCUUCCUCCUUUACAGUCCUAUUUUUACAUGAUUUUAAAACUUUACAACCAUCAACUUCUCAGUUAGAUCUUGGCCACCACAAAUAUUUUUUCAAAAAAUUAUUACAAUAGAAAUAUACUCUCUUGUAUUCAAAAACUAUUACCUUCAUCUGCUUCUCUGUAAAUGGUAAGGAGAUCUGCACGAAUGCAACAACAAAAUUAGAGCAAUUAAAAGAAAGAAUCAUAUUUUGUUGAAUCUACGAAAAUUCAUUUGUUUGAUAUGUUUCUAUUUGGAUCUAAAUAAUUUUGUAAAAGAAUUCAUUUAUUCUCACUAAAAGUCACUGCUAAUGUUCUUUAUUUCUUUAUCAUGCUUCUGAUAUUCGUUUUUUUUUCUCCUUUCUCAAAAAUUCAUUUUUAUCUUCCACUGGAUUAAACAAUAGUUCUAUUUUCUUUAUUUUUUUAGAUCCAUGAAUUUUUCCUUUUAGAUUUUAAAUCCUACAAAAGUUUUUGAAAUAAGAUCUAUUUUCUUGUUAAUGAUUUAUGUUCUUCUU